GGGCUAGUAGCUCAGCUGGCAGAGCAGCUGACUUUUAAUCAGCGGGUCGUAGGUUCGAACCCUACCUGGCUCA
rnacentral:tRNA from 1 species